UACGUAGGGUCCGAGCGUUGUCCGGAAUUAUUGGGCGUAAAGGGCUCGUAGGCGGUUUGUCACGUCGGGAGUGAAAACUCAGGGCUCAACCCUGAGCGUGCUUCCGAUACGGGCAGACUAGAGUGCGGUAGGGGAGACUGGAAUUCCUGGUGUAGCGGUGAAAUGCGCAGAUAUCAGGAGGAACACCGGUGGUGUAGACGGCUUUCUGGACCGUAACUGACGCUGAAACACGAAAGCGUGGGUAGCAAACAGG
rnacentral:rRNA from 1 species